GACGAACGCUGGCGGCGUGCUUAACACAUGCAAGUCGAACGGUGAAGGGAUCAGCUUGCUGGUUCUGGAUGAGUGGUGAACGGGUGAGUAACACGUGAGUAACCUGCCCCCUUCUUCUGGAUAACCUCAUGAAAGUGUGGCUAAUACGGGAUAUUCUGCGCCUGCUGCAUGGUGGGUGUGGGAAAGAUAUUGUUUCGGUGGGGGAUGGGCUCGCGGCCUAUCAGCUUGUUGGUGGGGUGAUGGCCUACCAAGGCGGUGACGGGUAGCCGGCCGGAGAGGGUGGACGGUCACACUGGGACGGAGACACGGCCCAGACUCCUACGGGCGGCAGCAGUGGGGAAUAUUGCACAAGGGGCGCAAGCCUGAUGCAGCGACGCCGCGUGAGGGAUGGAGGCCUUCGGGUUGUGAACCUCUUUCGCCAGUGAAGCAGGCCUGUCCCUUGUGCGUGGGUUGACGGUAGCUGGAUAAGAAGCGCCGGCUAACUACGUG
rnacentral:rRNA from 1 species